rnacentral:misc_RNA from 1 species
UGCCUUCACUUUUUCUUUGUUAAGCUCCUUGUCCAAAAUUGCAGCUUCUUCGGCAUACAUAAGCUCCCUUGCCCUGGCAUCCUUAAGCUCCUUGUCAUAUUUCUCCUUCAGUAUCCUUCUUUCUUCAGCAAAGGCAUAAGCAUCUGAUUCAGCUUGUUUUCUUUUAGCAGCAUCAAUGGCUUCUAUUAAAUCAAGUACUAUUUUUCCAUUUCCG